rnacentral:rRNA from 1 species
GGAUGAUUUGUCUGGUCUAUUCCGAUAACGAGCGAGACCCCAUCGUUCCUAAUAGGGGUGGUUAGCCCGCCGGCCGCAAGGUCGGCAGCUUCCGCUUAAGAUUUGCUUCUUAGACGUAUCAGAGCCGAUAAGGUUCUUGAAAUGGGUUAAUAACAGGUCAGUCAUGCCCUUAGAUGUUCUGGGCCGCACGCGCGUUACAAUGGCAUGUAAAGCAAGUGCUUGAAAAGGCGUCUCCGGGGCCGAAAGGUCCUGGUAACCCUUAGUCCCUGCCUUGACUGGGACAGAUCUUUGCAAUUAUUGGUCUCCAACGAGGAAUUUUUAGUAGUCGUAGGUCAUUAACCUGCGAUGAAA